UUUGGCAGAAAAGAAUGACUUUGUGAUCUUCCUGUUUACAUUGAUGACAAGUAAGAAGACAUUCUUACAAACAGCAACCCUCAUUGAAGAUAUUUUGGGUGUUAAAAAGGAAAUGAUCCGACUAGAUGAAGUCCCCAAUCUGAGUUCCUUAGUAUCCAAUUUCGAUCAGCAGCAGCUCGCUAAUUUCUGCCGGAUUCUGGCUGUCACCAUUUCAGAGAUGGAUACAGGGAAUGAUGACAAGCACACGCUUCUUGCCAAAAAUGCUCAACAGAAGAAGAGCUUGAGUUUGGGGCCUUCUGCAGCUGAAAUCAAUCAAGCGGCCCUUCUCAGCAUUCCUGGCUUUGUUGAGCGGCUUUGCAAACUGGCGACUCGAAAGGUGUCAGAGUCAACGGGCACAGCCAGCUUCCUUCAGGAGUUGGAAGAGUGGUACACAUGGCUAGACAAUGCUUUGGUGCUAGAUGCCCUGAUGCGAGUGGCCAAUGAGGAGUCAGAGCACAAUCAAGGUAUGGAAGGGUGGGUCCCCUGAGUGAUCGGGAGCUUUUCCUUGGGCGCCUGGGACCAUUCUUGCUCUUCUU
rnacentral:lncRNA from 1 species